rnacentral:rRNA from 1 species
AUUUGCUAAAGAUUCAUCGCUGAUAGAUAGGCAUGCGUUCCAUCAGGCAGUUGGCGGGGUAACGGCCCACCAAACCGACGAUGGAUAGGGGUUCUGAGAGGAAGGUCCCCCACAUUGGUACUGAGACACGGACCAAACUCCUACGGGAGGCAGCAUG